GACGAACGCUGGCGGCGUGGAUUAGGCAUGCAAGUCGCGCGACGGUAUUCCUUCGGGGAUAUACGGAGCGGCGAACGGGUGAGUAACACGUGAGCAACCUGCCCUUGACUCUGGAAUAACAGUUGGAAACAGCUGCUAAUACUGGAUAUUUACUUGUCCCUUCCUGGGGGUGAGUGGAAAGCUCCGGCGGUCAGGGAUGGGCUCGCGGCCUAUCAGCUUGUUGGUGAGGAAUGGCUCACCAAGGCUUCGACGGGUAGCCGGCCUGAGAGGGCGACCGGCCACACUGGGACUGAGAUACGGCCCAGACUCCUACGGGAGGCAGCAGUGGGGAAUAUUGCACAAUGGGCGCAAGCCUGAUGCAGCAACGCCGCGUGCGGGAUGACGG
rnacentral:rRNA from 1 species